AACGAACGCUGGCGGCAUGCCUAACACAUGCAAGUCGAACGAGACCUUCGGGUCUAGUUGCGCACGGGUGCGUAACGCGUGGGAACCUGCCCUUAGGUUCGGAAUAACUGCCCGAAAGGGGUGCUAAUACCGGUUAAGGUCUUAGGACCAACGAUUUAUUGCGUUUGGAUGGGCCCGCGUUGGAUUAGGGAGUUGGUAGGGUAAAAGCCUAUCAAGGGGACGAUCCAUAGCUGGUCUGUGAGGAUGAUCAGCCACACUGGAAAUGAGACACGGCCCAGACUCCUACGGAGGGCAGCAGUAGAGAAUAUUAGACGAUGAGCGAAAACCUGGUCCAGCAAUGCCGCGUAAGUGAUGAAGGCCGUAGGAUUGUAAAGCUCUUUUACACGAGAUGUUAGUGACGGUACCGGGAGAAGAAGCUCCGGCUAACUCCGUG
rnacentral:rRNA from 1 species